rnacentral:rRNA from 1 species
GUGCUAUACAUGCAGUCGAGCGGACCGACGGGAGCUUGCUCCCUUAGGUCAGCGGCGGACGGGUGAGUAACACGUGGGUAACCUGCCUGUAAGACUGGGAUAACUCCGGGAAACCGGGGCUAAUACCGGAUGCUUGAUUGAACCGCAUGGUUCAAUCAUAAAAGGUGGCUUUCAGCUACCACUUGCAGAUGGACCCGCGGCGCAUUAGCUAGUUGGUGAGGUAACGGCUCACCAAGGCGACGAUGCGUAGCCGACCUGAGAGGGUGAUCGGCCACACUGGGACUGAGACACGGCCCAGACUCCUACGGGAGGCAGCAGUAGGGAAUCUUCCGCAAUGGACGAAAGUCUGACGGAGCAACGCCGCGUGAGUGAUGAAGGUUUUCGGAUCGUAAAACUCUGUUGUUAGGGAAGAACAAGUACCGUUCGAAUAGGGCGGUACCUUGACGGUACCUAACCAGAAAGCCACGGCUAACUACGUGCCAGCAGCCGCGGUAAUACGUAGGUGGCAAGCGUUGUCCGGAAUUAUUGGGCGUAAAGCGCGCGCAGGCGGUUUCUUAAGUCUGAUGUGAAAGCCCCCGGCUCAACCGGGGAGGGUCAUUGGAAACUGGGGAACUUGAGUGCAGAAGAGGAGAGUGGAAUUCCACGUGUAGCGGUGAAAUGCGUAGAGAUGUGGAGGAACACCAGUGGCGAAGGCGACUCUCUGGUCUGUAACUGACGCUGAGGCGCGAAAGCGUGGGGAGCGAACAGGAUUAGAUACCCUGGUAGUCCACGCCGUAAACGAUGAGUGCUAAGUGUUAGAGGGUUUCCGCCCUUUAGUGCUGCAGCAAACGCAUUAAGCACUCCGCCUGGGGAGUACGGUCGCAAGACUGAAACUCAAAGGAAUUGACGGGGGGCCCGCACAAGCGGUGGAGCAUGUGGUUUAAUUUCAAAGCAACGCGAANAAACCUUACCAGGUCUUGACAUCCUCUGACAACCCCAAAAGAUAGGG